rnacentral:rRNA from 1 species
UACGUAGGGCGCAAGCGUUAUCCGGAAUUAUUGGGCGUAAAGAGCUCGUAGGCGGUUUGUCGCGUCUGCCGUGAAAUCCCCGGGCUCAACCCGGGAACUGCGUCCGAUACUGGCAGGCUUGAAUUCGGGAGAGGGAUGCGGAAUUCCAGGUGUAGCGGUGAAAUGCGUAGAUAUCUGGAGGAACACCGGUGGCGAAGGCGGCAUCCUGGACCGAGAUUGACGCUGAGGCGCGAAAGCCAGGGGAGCAAACGGG